ensembl:lncRNA
AUGGAUGUAAAACCUUUUCCUUUGCUAUCUUUUUCUAUAAAAGAGAACACCCCCGAACCUCCUCGUUUAGGACAGGAGAUCUGCACACACUACACUCAGGGUGGGACCCUCCUUCUGGAUGGGCCAAAGGUCUUUGAAAUGAUGCUGAUCGAGUUUGGAAGGGCAAUCCAGACCCUGAACCCUAUGGUGACUCAACAGUGGAUGGAUGAAGUAGAUGAUGAUCAUGACAAACGCCUGAACAUGGCGGAGUGUGCCAAACUCAUCCAGAGAGUGUCUGAUUCCAUUCAGAGGCCUCCGCAAUAAAGAAGCCACAUCUACUGACUUAAGUAACUUGUGCUUGUGUACGGAAGUAGACAUGAAGAAAAAUAAGAUUUCUCAAGCACUUAUUUAGUAGGUCUGUAGCUUAAUAAACAACUGUAAGGCAUCACUCAAAAUUUAAAUGUAGCAAUGUAUUGUUUUAGAAAUUACUUUAAAACAUGGAAUUAAAGAAUUUUAGCCAAAAAUGAAAAAAAUAAAAAUGCCUC